GUAGGGAAUAUUGGGCAAUGGAGGCAACUCUGACCCAGCCAUGCCGCGUGCAGGAAGAAGGCCUUCGGGUUGUAAACUGCUUUUGUACGGAACGAAACGGUCCGGGUUAAUACCCUGGGCUAAUGACGGUACCGUAAGAAUAAGCACCGGCUAACUACGUGCCAGCAGCCGCGGUAAUACGUAGGGUGCAAGCGUUAAUCGGAAUUACUGGGCGUAAAGCGUGCGCAGGCGGUGCUGUAAGACAGGCGUGAAAUCCCCGGGCUCAACCUGGGAAUUGCGCUUGUGACUGCAGUGCUGGAGUGCGGCAGAGGGGGAUGGAAUUCCGCGUGUAGCAGUGAAAUGCGUAGAUAUGCGGAGGAACACCGAUGGCGAAGGCAAUCCCCUGGGCCUGCACUGACGCUCAUGCACGAAAGCGUGGGGAGCAAACAGGAUUAGAAACCCCAGUAGUCC
rnacentral:rRNA from 1 species